rnacentral:rRNA from 1 species
GAUGAACGCUGGCGGCGUGCCUAAUACAUGCAAGUCGAGCGAACAGACGAGGAGCUUGCUCCUUUGACGUUAGCGGCGGACGGGUGAGUAACACGUAGGUAACCUACCUAUAAGACUGGGAUAACUUCGGGAAACCGGAGCUAAUACCGGAUAAUAUUUCGAACCGCAUGGUUCGAUAGUGAAAGAUGGCUUUGCUAUCACUUAUAGAUGGACCUGCGCCGUAUUAGCUAGUUGGUAAGGUAACGGCUUACCAAGGCAACGAUACGUAGCCGACCUGAGAGGGUGAUCGGCCACACUGGAACUGAGACACGGUCCAGACUCCGACGGGAGGCAGCAGUAGGGAAUCUUCCGCAAUGGGCGAAAGCCUGACGGAGCAACGCCGCGUGAGUGAUGAAGGUCUUCGGAUCGUAAAACUCUGUUAGUAGGGAAGAACAAACGUGUAAGUAACUGUGCACGUCUUGACGGUACCUAAUCAGAAAGCCACGGCUAACUACGUG